rnacentral:rRNA from 1 species
AUUGAACGCUGGCGGCAGGCCUAACACAUGCAAUUCGAGCGAGCGGCGGACGGGUGAGUAAUGUCUGGGACACUGCCUGAUCGAGGGGGAUAACUACUGGAAACGGUAGCUAAUACCGCAUACCAUCAGAUGUUCCCAGAUGGGAUGAGCUAGUAGGUGGGGUAACGGCUCACCUAGGCGACGUUCCCUAGCUGGUCUGAGAGGAUGACCAGCCACACUGGAACUGAGACUAGGUCCCAACUCCUACGGGAGUCAGCAGUGGGUAAUAUUGCAAAAUGGGCGCAAGCCUGAUGCAGCCAUGCCGCGUGUGUGAAGAAGGCCUGCGGGUUGUAAAGCACUUUCAGCGGGGAGGCGUUACCCGCAGAAGAAGCACCGGCUAACGCAGUGCCAGCCGCCGCGGUAAUAC